GAAGAGAUGAGAAGCUUGGCUUCUUAUCAAUUCGAGUGGCAAAACGGGUGAGUAACGCGUUAAAGCAACCUGCCCUUCAGAUGGGGACAACAGCUGGAAACGGCUGCUAAUACCGAAUACGUCUUUUUGUCGCAUGAUCAGCUUUUGAAAGGCGGCGUAAGCUGUCGCUAAGGGAUGGCCCCGCGGUGCAUUAGCUAGUUGGUAAGGUAACGGCUUACCAAGGCGACGAUGCAUAGCCGGCCUGAGAGGGCGGACGGCCACAUUGGGACUGAGACACGGGCCCAAACUCCUACGGGAGGCAGCAGUAGGGAAUUUUCGUCAAUGGGGGGAACCCUGAACGAGCAAUGCCGCGUGAGUGAGGAAGGUCUUCGGAUCGUAAAGCUCUGUUGUAAGAGAAAAACGGCACUCAUAGGGAAUGAUGAGUGAGUGAUGGUAUCUUACCAGAAAGUCACGGCUAACUACGUG
rnacentral:rRNA from 1 species